rnacentral:rRNA from 1 species
UAAGGAAUAUUGGACAAUGGAGGCAACUCUGAUCCAGCCAUGCCGCGUGAAGGAAUAAGGCCCUAUGGGUUGUAAACUUCUUUUAGACGGGACAAAACCCCUUUACGUGUAAAGGGUUGAUGGUACUGUCAGAAUAAGCAUCGGCUAACUUCGUGCCAGCAGCCGCGGUAAUACGAAGGAUGCAAGCGUUAUCCGGAAUUAUUGGGUUUGAAGGGUGCGUAGGCGGACUAAUAAGUCAGUGGUGAAAGCCUGCAGCUUAACUGCAGAAGUGCCAUUGAUACUGUUAGUCUUGAGUACAGUUGAGGUAGGCGGAAUGUGUCAUGUAGCGGUGAAAUGCUUAGAUAUGACACAGAACACCGAUUGCGAAGGCAGCUUGCUAAGCUGUAACUGACGCUGAGGCACGAAAGCGUGGGGAGCAAACA